rnacentral:rRNA from 1 species
CGGAGGAAAAGAAACCAACAGGGAUUGCCUCAGUAACGGCGAGUGAAGCGGCAAGAGCUCAACUUUGGAAUCGCUCCGGCGAGUUGUAGUCUGGAGGUGGCCACCACGAGGUGUUCUAGCAGCAGGCAAGUCCUUUGGAACAAGGCGCCAGCGAGGGUGACAGCCCCGUACCUGCUUUUGCUAGUGCUUCCUGUGGCCCACCGACGAGUCGAGUUGUUUGGGAAUGCAGCUCUAAGUGGGUGGUAAAUUCCAUCUAAGGCUAAAUAUUGGCGAGAGACCGAUAGCGAACAAGUACAGUGAUGGAAAGAUGAAAAGCACUUUGAAAAGAGAGUGAAACAGUACGUGAAAUUGUUGAAAGGGAAGGGCUUGCACCCAGACACGGUUUCGGCCGGGCCAGCAUCAAGUAGAACGGGGUUAAAAGACCUGGGGAAUGUAGCUACCUCUUGGUAGUGUUAUAGCCCUUGGGUGAUGACCCCUGUUUUGCUUGAGGACAGCGGUCUCUAGGAUGCUGGCGCAAUGGUUGCAAGCCACCCG